rnacentral:rRNA from 1 species
UACGGGGGGGGCUAGCGUUGCUCGGAAUUACUGGGCGUAAAGCGCACGUAGGCGGCUCUUUAAGUCGGGGGUGAAAUCCUGGAGCUCAACUCCAGAACUGCCUUCGAUACUGUAGAGCUUGAGUUCGGGAGAGGUGAGUGGAACUGCGAGUGUAGAGGUGAAAUUCGUAGAUAUUCGCAAGAACACCCGUGGCGAAGGCGGCUCUCUGGGACGGUACUGACGCUGAGACGCGAAAGCGUGGGGAGCGAACAGG